GAUGAACGCUGGCGGCGUGCCUAAUACAUGCAAGUCGAGCGGACGGACGAGAAGCUUGCUUUUCUGAUGUUAGCGGCGGACGGGUGAGUAACACGUGGAUAACCUACCCAUAAGACUGGGAUAACUUCGGGAAACCGGAGCUAAUACCGGAUAAUAUUUUGAACCGCAUGGUUCAAAAGUGAAAGACGGUCUUGCUGUCACUUAUAGAUGGAUCCGCGCUGCAUUAGCUAGUUGGUAAGGUAACGGCUUACCAAGGCAACGAUGCAUAGCCGACCUGAGAGGGUGAUCGGCCACACUGGAACUGAGACACGGUCCAGACUCCUACGGGAGGCAGCAGUAGGGAAUCUUCCGCAAUGGGCGAAAGCCUGACGGAGCAACGCCGCGUGAGUGAUGAAGGUCUUCGGAUCGUAAAACUCUGUUAUUAGGGAAGAACAUAUGUGUAAGUAACUGUGCACAUCUUGACGGUACCUAAUCAGAAAGCCACGGCUAACUACGUG
rnacentral:rRNA from 1 species